UACGUAGGGUGCAAGCGUUGUCCGGAAUUAUUGGGCGUAAAGAGCUCGUAGGCGGUCUGUCGCGUCGGCUGUGAAAACCCGGGGCUCAACUCCGGAUCUGCGGUGGGUACGGGCAGACUAGAGUGAUGUAGGGGAGACUGGAAUUCCUGGUGUAGCGGUGAAAUGCGCAGAUAUCAGGAGGAACACCGAUGGCGAAGGCAGAUCUCUGGGCCGUAACUGACGCUGAGGAGCGAAAGCAUGGGGGAGCGAACAGG
rnacentral:rRNA from 1 species